rnacentral:rRNA from 1 species
GUCAUGGGGGUCUACCAUGCAAGUCGAACGAUGAACCGGUUUCGGCCGGGGAUUAGUGGCGAACGGGUGAGUAACACGUGGGCAAUCUGCCCUGCACUCUGGGACAAGCCCUGGAAACGGGGUCUAAUACCGGAUAUGACUACCGACCGCAUGGUCUGGUGGUGGAAAGCUCCGGCGGUGCAGGAUGAGCCCGCGGCCUAUCAGCUUGUUGGUGGGGUGAUGGCCUACCAAGGCGACGACGGGUAGCCGGCCUGAGAGGGCGACCGGCCACACUGGGACUGAGACACGGCCCAGACUCCUACGGGAGGCAGCAGUGGGGAAUAUUGCACAAUGGGCGGAAGCCUGAUGCAGCGACGCCGCGUGAGGGAUGACGGCCUUCGGGUUGUAAACCUCUUUCAGCAGGGAAGAAGCGCAAGUGACGGUACCUGCAGAAGAAGCGCCGGCUAACUACGUGCCAGCAGCCGCGGUAAUACGUAGGGCGCAAGCGUUGUCCGGAAUUAUUGGGCGUAAAGAGCUCGUAGGCGGCUUGUCGCGUCGGAUGUGAAAGCCCGGGGCUUAACCCCGGGUCUGCAUUCGAUACGGGCAGGCUAGAGUUCGGUAGGGGAGAUCGGAAUUCCUGGUGUAGUAAAAAAAAA